rnacentral:misc_RNA from 1 species
CAACCCUCAAGCACUGCUUGGUAUUGGAUGCCAUCAACUGUGGUGCAUCUCAAAAGUAUUGGUGGCAGCGUUCAGCUUCUAGUGUAGUAAUUUCUCGCUCUGGAGUUUUGAGUGCCUGUCUGCUAGAACCCCUAAUUUCUUAAAA